CUCGUCUGUGGACGGACGAGUAGCUGACUCUGGAGCCCAGGCUGUUGCUAUCCAGUCUGGUGGUGAAUCCUCCACAGUCUGUUUAGAGCAAUUGGAUGAAGUAUAUUUUUGUGAGCAAAUUUACCUUUCUCUCUGAAUUCUCCAAAAUUCAGAAACCAUUAAAUGCUUGUCUCACCUUCACGUGUUAUUACACUUCAUAAGGAAGAGAAGAAAAGUUAUAAGACAAUAAAAACAAAUAUUUUCAACUUCAGAAUUUUAUUUAUGACUAUAUCAUUUUACAAGAAUUUAUAACUACUUAUGUUUUUGUAGAAUUGUAAACAUGGAUUGCAAUAACUUGUAUAUGAUUAACACACUAAUUGAAAUAAGAAAAAUGUUACUAAAAUCUGCUUCUAAAUUUUUUAAGUAGUGAAAAUUCUAUGUAUAAUACUUGUAUAUAUGUAUUAAUAUUAUUUGGAGCAGAUAAUGUUGGUUUAUGCCUCAAAGCAUAUUUGAUGUUUUAUGUGAUUUAUUUGGUUAAAAUUAAUUAAUCAUUUAAUUAAAAAUUUAGAAGCUCUAUUUAAAAUAAUCUUGCUGUGCAAGUAAAUUACAAUGGUUUAUAUAUAGGUAAUAAAACAGAAUUAAGCAGCUAAAACCAUCUAAUACUACAGUUGGUUAAAGAGGUCAAAAAAGAUACGUAUACUUUUUUAAAAAUUCAUUUAUUUAUUUGAGAUAAGGUCUCACUCUGUCACCUAGGCUAGAGUGCAGGAGUGUGAACAUAGCUCACUGCAAUCUAGAACUUCUGGGCUCAACUGAUCCUCCCACCUCAGCCUUCUGAGUGGCUGGGACUAUAGGUACAUGUCACCAUGCCUGGUAAUUUUUUACUUUUUUUGUAUAGAUGGUGUCUUGCUUUGUUGCCAGGGCUGGUCUUGACCUCCUAGGCUUAAGUGAUCCUUCAGCCUUGGCCUCCCAAAGUGCUGGAAUUAGAGGUGUGAGCCACUAUGCCCACCCAGCUUGGUCAAUUUAAUAUCAAUUAAUGACAAACAAAACAAAGCACACAGCACAACUCAUUUUUCUAUUUGUCUGGUGCUCAUUCCUCUAUGUAAUAAAGGAUCAGUGGGUAUAGAUAAUGUGCUAAUAUGGAAAAUAAAAUAAUUUUUUAAAAUAAUUAAUGUCUUAGAAGCCAAGAAAAGACAAAAAAAAAAAAAGAAAAGAACCUUGAGAACAAAAGAAAAUGAAAAGCAAAAUGACAGAUUUAACAUCAAGAUUAUAGAAAAGUAAAUUCAUUAUAAAUGUACUACAAUCUCCAAAUAAAAGGGAGACAUUGAUAGAAUUAAUACAGAACCAAAGUCAAUCUAUAUGCUGACCUCAAGAAAGUAAUUUUACUUGUAAACAGGUCAAAAGUUAAAAGAUAGUUUCAUCGUAAUUUUUUUUUGAAGUUAAGAAGUAGAAAAGACCAUACCUUGACAUUGUUAUGUAUAAAAAUCUGAUGUAUCUAUAUUAAUGUUAAAAAAAGAGACUUCAAAACAAUUUAUGUUCUCUGAGAAAAAGAGGGAUUUUUUUUAAUGAUACAGAGACUAGCUCACCAAGAUGACAUAAUAAUCUCAAACGUAUAUGGGCUUAAUAACAGAACUUUGAAAUAUAUGAAGCAAAAAUCAAAAUAAUUGAAAGCAGAAAUAGAUAAAUUCACUCUAUAAGACUGAGAUUUCAACAGACAUCUGCUUUUCAUUUAUAUAACAUUUAUAGGGGAAACAAAUAUGAAUAUAGAAGACUUAAAUUACAUUGUCAACCAGUUUUUUCUAAAUUACAUUUAUAGAACAUUCUACUUCAAAACAGAAGAGCAUGCAUUCUUUCCAGAUGAAAAUGGAAUAUUCAUUAAGAUGUGUGUAUGAUUUAAUUAGUUUAAAAGGAAUAAAAUCAUCUGGCUUUGUUAUUCCCAUGGAAUAUAAUCAGCAAUAAGAAAAAUAGACAUCUAUAAAAUUCCUAACAUUGGAAACUUGAAACCACAUUUUUAGGUGUGACUUCCACUUUUGGGAAGAUGGAGUAGAAAUACUUUUUCCUAUUCCUCUCACUAAUCAUAGCUAAAACCUUGUACAUUAUACAUAAAAUAAAUGUAAAAAGACCUAUAUAGGUGUAAAGAAGACAGUAGACCAGUGAGGGACCUCAGGAACAAAAAACAACACAAUGAUAGUUUCUUGGGCUUGGUUUUUGUCUCAUAUAUACUAGACUUGGAGCUGAAAAAGCUGCCUGAAAGUGCCAAUGGACACAGACAAAAAACCUCCAGAAAAUGACACUUUUCUCUAGCCAAAGAACUAGGAGAAAAGCAGCUUAGCUAGAGAGAAAACUUUUAUGUAAUAACCACUCUACUCCAGGCACACACCAAAAAACAAAUCAAGAAAACAACAUCCACAAAAAUUUUGGUUGAGUCAGCAAAGACUGACCUGGAAAUCUUGAUUUUCACAGUCACAAGUUUGUUAAAAGAUAACUGUUGGUCCUGAUGGUAGAGAAAGUCAAAUAGGAAAUCAAUACAUCACCGUCAGCCUGUAACAAGUCCUCUGUCCAGCAAUGUCAGUGAAAACCACAAUGAAGAACAUGAGCUUUCACCUCACCCAUUGGUAAUGUAGUGCCCUUCAUCCUCGAUGCCUGGGUGGCAUCAGAGAAAGCCUACUGGAGAAUCAGGAAUUUCACCAUUACCCAGUUGAUAACAAGCCACUCUCACCAUAAUGUCGGUAGAUGUCAUGUGAGGCACCAACACAUCAGCACUCACCCAGUGGUAUCAAAAGACCACUCCCCUUGGGUUUUGAUGGAGGAUGAGUAAGUAACCUGGACUUGUAUUUACAACCAGCUGCUUUUCUUCCUCUGCUGGAGCAGUGUCACAGAAAGCCAGUUAAAACAGAAAGUUUAAAGAAAAUUUAGUGUCCCACAACAUAACAUAAAAAUGUCAAGUGUUCAAUAAUAAAUCACUUAUCAUACCAAGAAGUAGGAAGAUAUCAAACUUGAUUAAAAAGGUGAGCAAUAGAGGCCAACAAUGAGAUGACAGAGAUGUUCAUAUAAUCUAAAAAUAUUUUAAAGCAGUUACAAUAAUUAUACUUCAGUAAGCAAUUACAAACAAAUAUCCUUAAAAAACAAAAGAAUGAGUCAACAAAGAGUUGAAACAUCUUAGCAGAGAAAUAGAACAUAUCAAGAGGAGCCAAAUGGAAUUUUAGAAUUAAAACAUUCAAUUACCAAAAUAUAAAGUUCAGUGGAUGGGUUCAAUAUAGAAUAGAGGGGAGAAAAAAAUGAAUGAGAGACUGUAGGUAGAAAUUAUACAAUCUGCAAAAUUGAGAAAAUUAGACACAAAUUCUCCAGCAACCUGUGAAAAUAUAGCCAUGUAUCACUUAACAAUGAGGAUAUAUUCUGAGAAAUACAUCCUCGGGUGAUUUUGUCAUUGUGCAAACACCAUAGAGUAUAUUAUACACAUGAAAAAAUGCUCAUCAUCACUGGCUGUCAGAGAAUUGCAAAUCAAAACCACAAUGAGGUACCAUCUCACACCAGUUAGAAUGGCAAUCAUUAAAAAGACAGGAAACAACAGGUGCUGGAGAGGAUGUGGAGAAAUAGGAACACUUUUACACUGUUGGUGGGACUGUAAACUAGUUCAACCAUUGUGGAAGUCAGUGUGGCGAUUCCUCAGGGAUCUAGAACUAGAAAUACCACUUGACCCAGCCAUCCCAUUACUGGGUAUAUACCCAAAGGACUAUAAAUCA